UUAACUCAAAUUUGUAUGGAGUUGGAACGUUUGCCUACGUUUGCCGCUAGGGGCGCUGUUCCAACUGCAUACAGAUUUGAGUUA
rnacentral:pre_miRNA from 1 species